CUGGCUCAGGAUGAACGCUGGCGGCGUGCCUAACACAUGCAAGUCGAGCGAUUACUUCGGUAAAGAGCGGCGGACGGGUGAGUAACGCGUGGGUAACCUGCCUCAUACACAUGGAUAACAUACCGAAAGGUAUGCUAAUACAGGAUAAUAUAAGAGAUUCACAUGGAUUUCUUAUCAAAGCUCCGGCGGUAUGAGAUGGACCCGCGUCUGAUUAGCUAGUUGGUAAGGUAAUGGCUUACCAAGGCGACGAUCAGUAGCCGACCUGAGAGGGUGAUCGGCCACAUUGGAACUGAGACACGGUCCAAACUCCUACGGGAGGCAGCAGUGGGGAAUAUUGCACAAUGGGCGAAAGCCUGAUGCAGCAACGCCGCGUGAGUGAUGAAGGCCUUCGGGUCGUAAAACUCUGUCCUCAAGGAAGAUAAUGACGGUACUUGAGGAGGAAGCCCCGGCUAACUACGUGCCAGCCGCUGC
rnacentral:rRNA from 1 species